rnacentral:rRNA from 1 species
CAGUAGCCGCGGGAAUACGAAGGGUGCAAGCGUUAAUCGGAAUUACUGGGCGUAAAGCGUGCGUAGGCGGUUUGUUAAGUCUGUUGUGAAAUCCCCGGGCUCAACCUGGGAACUGCAUUUGUGACUGGCAAGCUAGAGUGUGGCAGAGGGGGGUGGAAUUCCGCGUGUAGCAGUGAAAUGCGUAGAUAUGCGGAGGAACACCGAUGGCGAAGGCAGCCCCCUGGGCCAACACUGACGCUCAUGCACGAAAGCGUGGGGAGCAAACAGGAUUAGAUACCCCGGUAGUCCCUGUCUCUUAUAC